rnacentral:rRNA from 1 species
GACGAACGCUGGCGGCGUGCUUAACACAUGCAAGUCGAACGGAAAGGCCCCUUUGGGGGUACUCGAGUGGCGAACGGGUGAGUAACACGUGAGUAACCUGCCCUUGACUUCGGGAUAACUUCAGGAAACUGGGGCUAAUACCGGAUAGGAAUCCUUGCUGCAUGGUGGGGGUUGGAAAGCUUCGGCGGUUUUGGAUGGACUCGCGGCGUAUCAGCUUGUUGGUGGGGUAGUGGCUUACCAAGGCUUUGACGGGUAGCCGGCCUGAGGGGGCGACCGGCCACAUUGGGACUGAGAUACGGCCCAGACUCCUACGGGAGGCAGCAGGGGGGAAUAUUGCACAAUGGGCGGAAGCCUGAUGCAGCAACGCCGCGGGCGGGAUGACGGCCUUCGGGUUGUAAACCGCUUUCAGCAGGGGCGAAGCUUGUGGUGACGGUACCUGCAGAAGAAGCACCGGCUAACUACGUG